rnacentral:lncRNA from 1 species
GCUCCAUGGACUCCUUAGAGGCAUGGUUGGGGCUGAUCUACAGUGAUCCUGAGUACCUGCACUUUCAGGAAGCCUUUGACAAAAUCCCUGUUAAAAACUUCAUAGAGGAAGUAGUUACAGACCAGGGGUGCUGUAUUCGAUGGCUGGGAAGCGCAGGGCAGAAGUAGGCUGGCAAUUCUCAGUGUGGCUAAGUGCUAACAAGGAGAAGCUCCCAACACCUUAUCUAGAGCAAGUGUCUGAAGUACGUCACUCUGGAGAGAGGGGAAACCACUGCAGCCACAGAUGUACAAACCUGCCACGGGUUGGUGACUCAAGAGAGGGCAGCGAAGAGCAACAAAGAGGGCUGAGAGAUAGAGUGAGAUGGCUGCUGGCAACACUGCUGAGCUGGUUCAGCUUGGUGAGAGUUCCAAGAAACACUGGUGCUGCAGGGUGGCCAUAAGUGCAUCUGCAGGGUGGGAAUGUAGAGGUGUUGUGAGGAUGAAGGGGAGCAUCACCUCCUGGCAGCAGUGAUCCUGUCAGGGUGCCCCACCAGAGCUCAACCUCCUUGGUGGCCAGGGAGAGGCUGGGUUGAGUGUUCUGGUCACUGAGUGUACUGCUCUAACCUGGAAUUACAAAAAAAACAAAAACAAAAACAAAACCAAAAACAACAACAACAAAAAAAAAAAGCCAAAAAAAACCAAAACCCCAAAACCCCAAAAACCAAAAACAACCAAACCAGAAGGAUUUGGGAGUAUUUUUGUAAACAGGAGCAUCAACACACUGCAUGCUAUACCAUGGCUAUCAGAAAACAAGCAAUGUGCCUCAGACAAUUAAAAAAUGAGCGAGGUGAUAUGAUGCCAUCCGCAUCUGCAAAAUCAUUAUAAAUCUGUCAUGUAAGGUACGCUCAUUGGGAGGUGGGCCAGUCUUUCUAGAGAGGACACAGAAAUCUGGUGAUAAAACAACUGAAGUGAUGGGAGACUUCUUGAUGAAUGGUUGACCAAGAGGGUCUGCUCUUGGACAGGAGGGGAAUAGAAAGGGACAGAGCAUCCUAUGGCACACAAACAAUGCAUAUAACAUCACCUGAGACAAAACUAAAGUGAAACUGAAAGAUAACCAAUUCCAGUAAAAGGUAAAUUCUUUUUCAGCAAUCUAUCAUGUUCAUUGCUACGAGAUAUGAGGAAAGUAAAGAGACUCUUAGGCAUCUAGACAUUUACAUCAAUAAAAGAAUAUGUACUGUUAGUCUGUGUAAGAUA